UCAUCCUCUUCGAUUCGAUUCUAGAGAAUAUAGAGGGGAGCUUCGUUCAAGCAAUCGCUCCUCCUCUAUUCCAGUUCCUCAGGCGUGUGUUGGGCAUCUACAACAGUUUGCCAUGCAGGAAGCUUCAGUCAUGAGUUUUCGUUCUUCUCCCAUGGUGAAUGCCGGUGUCGACUGCCUUCUCUAUCCAUAUGGUUGAGUGUGUUCAAUCUUCUUCUUCUCCCUUCACCUUUGUUUCUCACUGUUCGCCGCUGGUGACUGGAGGAAAACACCGAAAUCCCCCUCCUUUGACGGUGCUGUGGCGCGCGUUUUCAUUGGUCUUCUUCCUCCCCUGUUUUUUUUUUUUCUUUAUCGUGAACUCCUUUCCUCUCCUCCCUUUGUUCGGGCUGCUGUGAUAGGUUGAGCUCCAAGUUUUUCCUUGUCUCCUUCCAAUUCUGAUGCGUCAUCUCUCAUUUCUGUUGUGUUUUAGCAUGGAUUCAGACAUUCCUCUCCUUUUUGCUACUUUGUCCUGUUGUUUCUAUUGAGAUGAGAUGAGGAACCAUGAUUUUCUAUUUUCGUAAAAAUCUGUGCAUCUCUAGAAAUAGGUCCAGAUCGAUGACGAGCCACCCGGGCAAGGAAAAAGGAAGAAAAAAUAAAGAAUCGUUCUCUAUGAGGGUCCUCCGCGAUGCACAGAGACAAAUUUGAAUAAUGAGCUCCUUUGUGCCAUGUGCCACAGCGGAGGGUAGGCGCACAAGCUAAAAAUUAGAUAUAUCUGAUUCGUUUUGCAUGCGAAAAUAAAAGAGGAGGAGGAGAGGAAAAUAAAGAGCUUGACUUAGUCUCUACGAGGGCACGACAUUGGCUUCUAUUGUAGACAUUUUGAAGCUUUCAAACACCCAAGGAUGCGUGCUAUGUUGGUGUUUUCUAUAUCAUGGAUGAUCUAGGUCACCGAAAGUUACCCCUAGAUAGGUCGUUGGAUGAGUCUCCCCCUGAUUCAAAGAAGAAAAUGAUUAUUGACAAUGCUGAAAAUUUGAUCACAGAUGCCAUCACGGAUGAUAAAAUGGCAGGAUCUAGUGAAGUGAGUGAGGCAUCGCCCUCAGGUGAUCAGGAAGAUGAAAAUAGAGGAAAGUUUAAAUGCAAGAAAGAACAGCAACAAGUCUCCUAUAAAGGCUCUAUUAUGGCCUAUAAUGAAGUGGCUAAUGGAGAGGAAAUUGUGGAAAACGAAGAUUUGCUGCUGGAUGAUGAUGAAAUCACAUGGACAUUACCAUAACCUUCUGAAAAGGUUGAACAGUUGAAGCACUUGUAUCCUAAAGUUCCUAUCUCCCAAGAAGAGUUCAAUGAAUGGUGCAGGCCUUGGAAUAAGGCUCUGAUCCUCACU